GGAAAGUGCUUUGAAUAGGUGGCUUUCAAUCCACACUUACUACCUUUGUACCGAGAUCUCUCUGACGCCAGUCAUCCAGCUUUUUGAUAUGGGCUGAAGCAGGCAGUGGCCACAUCAGAAUGGCCGGGGAUCCAAAACGCACAGGUUACACGGUAUAUAUCUGUGAGUUUUGACUAUGAUCGCAUCAUGCUGCCAGGGAUUCUCUUCUUUCUGUUGAAUUGGGUUGAGACGAUCAUGAACUCACACAAGGAGAAUAGUCAUUGCAUCAUGCUAAUGUUUGUCAUCUCCCUUUGAAGAGAUGAUAGGUUCAUCCAAGUGUAACACUGAUGAGGUGGUUUUCUACACACUCAAGAGAUCCAUUUGGGGUGAGAGAGGAAAAUUAGAAGACUAAUAAGACUCGCCUAAGUCUAACUCUCUGUGUGACUGGAAGGAUCAGAGUAGAGAAGACCCUACUACAAAACAUCAGAUGGGUGAUGGCCUUGCUUCCUGAAAAUGCUGAAUACAUUUGGACAAAAGUCGCAGAGAUUGAUGGGCUGAUACAAUGCUCCAAAUUCCCAGAUCAUUUUACAGAUGAGGCAACUGAGAUAAACAAGGCUAUGUGA
rnacentral:lncRNA from 1 species